UACAGAGGUCCCAAGCGUUGUUCGGAUUCACUGGGCGUAAAGGGUUCGUAGGCGGUCGGGUAGGUCUGAUGUGAAAUCUCACAGCUUAACUGUGAAACUGCAUUGGAUACUAUCCGGCUCGAGGAAUGGAGGGGAGACUGGAAUACUUGGUGUAGCAGUGAAAUGCGUAGAUAUCAAGUGGAACACCAGUGGCGAAGGCGAGUCUCUGGACAUUUCCUGACGCUGAGGCACGAAAGCCAGGGGAGCAAACGGG
rnacentral:rRNA from 1 species